UACGAAGGGGGCUAGCGUUGCUCGGAAUUACUGGGCGUAAAGCGCACGUAGGCGGAUUGUUAAGUCGGGGGUGAAAUCCUGGAGCUCAACUCCAGAACUGCCUUCGAUACUGGCGAUCUCGAGUUCGGGAGAGGUGAGUGGAACUGCGAGUGUAGAGGUGAAAUUCGUAGAUAUCGCAAGAACACCAGUGGCGAAGGCGGCUCACUGGCCCGAUACUGACGCUGAGGUGCGAAAGCGUGGGGAGCAAACAGG
rnacentral:rRNA from 1 species